rnacentral:rRNA from 1 species
AUUGAACGCUGGCGGCAGGCCUAACACAUGCAAGUCGAGCGGAUGAGGAAAGCUUGCUUUUCGAUUCAGCGGCGGACGGGUGAGUAAUGCCUAGGAAUCUGCCUGUUAGUGGGGGAUAACUCGGGGAAACUCGGGCUAAUACCGCAUACGUCCUACGGGAGAAAGUGGGGGAUCUUCGGACCUCACGCUAACAGAUGAGCCUAGGUCGGAUUAGCUAGUAGGUGAGGUAAUGGCUCACCUAGGCGACGAUCCGUAACUGGUCUGAGAGGAUGAUCAGUCACGCUGGAACUGAGGCACGGUCCAGACCCCUACGGGAGGCAGCAGUGGGGAAUAUUGGACAAUGGGCGAAAGCCUGAUCCAGCCAUGCCGCGUGUGUGAAGAAGGUCUUCGGAUUGUAAAGCACUUUAAGUUGGGAGGAAGGGUAUUCACCUAAUACGUGGGUACUUUGACGUUACCAACAGAAUAAGCACCGGCUAACUCUGUGCCAGCCGCCGCAGUAAGAC